GACGAACGCUGGCGGCGCGCCUAACACAUGCAAGUCGAACGGAGCUGCGAGAAGCUUGCUUUUCUUAGCUUAGUGGCGAACGGGUGAGUAACGCGUGAGUAACCUGCCCUGGAGUGGGGGACAACAGUUGGAAACGACUGCUAAUACCGCAUAAGCCCACGAUCCGGCAUCGGAUUGAGGGAAAAGGAUUUAUUCGCUUCAGGAUGGACUCGCGUCCAAUUAGCUAGUUGGUGAGGUAACGGCCCACCAAGGCGACGAUUGGUAGCCGGACUGAGAGGUUGAACGGCCACAGUGGGACUGAGACACGGCCCAGACUCCUACGGGAGGCAGCAGUGGGGGAUAUUGCACAAUGGGGGAAACCCUGAUGCAGCGACGCCGCGUGGAGGAAGAAGGUUUUCGGAUUGUAAACUCCUGUCGUUAGGGACGAUAAUGACGGUACCUAACAAGAAAGCACCGGCUAACUACGUG
rnacentral:rRNA from 1 species